GCGGGGCUGGUGUAGUGGUUGUGAGUUGUUUCAAGUCCACUUUAACCAACGUUUGAACUAAUUCCAGAGCAGAUCACGUGUCGUUCACACCGACAAGGUCGCGAGUUCGAUCCUCGCGCCCCGUA
rnacentral:tRNA from 1 species